GACGAACGCUGGCGGCGUGCUUAACACAUGCAAGUCGAACGGAAAGGCCCUGCUUUUGUGGGGUGCUCGAGUGGCGAACGGGUGAGUAACCAGUGAGUACCCUGCCCUUGACUCUGGGAUACCUUCAGGAAACUGCGGCUAAUACCGGAUAGGAGCUCCUGCUGCCUGCUGGGCGUUGGAAAGUUUCGGCGGUUGGGGCUGGACUCGCGGCUUCUCAGCUUGCUGGUGGGGUAGUGGCUUACCAAGGCUUUGACGGGUAGCCGGCCUGAGCGGGUGAACGGCCACAUUGGGACUGAGAUACGGCCCAGACUCCUACGGGAGGCAGCAGUGGGGAAUAGUGCACAAUGGGCGGAAGCCUGAUGCAGCAACGCCGCGUGCGGGAUGACGGCCUUCGGGUUGUAAACCGCUUUCGCCUGUGACGAAGCGUGAGUGACGGUAAUGGGUAAAGAAGCACCGGCUAACUACGUG
rnacentral:rRNA from 1 species